AUUGAACGCUGGCGGCAUGCUUUACACAUGCAAGUCGAACGGCAGCGCGGGCUUCGGCCUGGCGGCGAGUGGCGAACGGGUGAGUAAUAUAUCGGAACGUACCCAAGAGUGGGGAUAACGUAGCGAAAGUUACGCUAAUACCGCAUACGAUCUAAGGAUGAAAGCAGGGGAUCGCAAGACCUUGUGCUCCUGGAGCGGCCGAUAUCUGAUUAGCUAGUUGGUGAGGUAAAGGCUCACCAAGGCAACGAUCAGUAGCUGGUCUGAGAGGACGACCAGCCACACUGGAACUGAGACACGGUCCAGACUCCUACGGGAGGCAGCAGUGGGGAAUUUUGGGACAAUGGGGGCAACCCUGAUCCAGCAAUGCCGCGUGAGUGAAGAAGGCCU
rnacentral:rRNA from 1 species